AAGACCGAUCUUGAUCAAGUGAGGGUGUUUCAGUUCCUUCCUGUGAGCUGAGGGAGAUUUCCUGCUGCGUUUUGCUGAAGUGAGCCUGUCCAGGGAGAGUCUUAUUUCCCUGAAUGCUUCACCCAGCACGGUAGCCUCUGAAAAGAAAUAGGGUGAAAGGAGAAGCAGCUCAUGCGCACCCCUUCAUCUCCAAGUCUCAUGUACCAUCUUUUGGCCAGCCUUGCACUUACCUCCUCCAGUCAUCCUGAGGGAGCAGAAUAUAGACAUUUGUGCUUUGCUGCAGGUCUCCACGUUAUUUCCUUUGGUCACCUCUGCAGAUGGACUGGAAAUGCUCCUUUUUUUGGCCAUUCUGCAUUCUUUCUGGUUCUGUGCCGUGAGGAUGCCAGCACUGCAGGGAUUUUCAACCCAUUUUUUUUCUGCCUUUUUGCUCUCUGCUGUGCUGUAUCACACACUUUUCUACAUUCACAGCCUGGUCCUAGUUCCUGACAUGGUGUCUGGUUUCAGAAAGAAGUCUUGAGCAGUUGCUGUAGUUGUGAAAUAUGGUUAGGAGAAAUGCUUUUGUUUACUCAGAGAUUUCAUGGGGACAUCUUGGUAUGUUCUGCAGCAUGCAGCACAGCUGAAACUGCCUUACGUCACCUAGCUAUGCAGCUUUGGGUUAAUUGUUGUUUCGGUUGUAAAAGAGAAGCCUGACUGACAGCUGUUUUUCUGACCACAUGCCUACAUUAUUUUUCCAAGAUAUAUAUAGAACUCUGACUUGCUGAGCAGAGGAAAAUGACUUUGUGCAAUUAAUGUGACAUGCUUAAUAAUGCUUGGAAGGGUGCAGGGAUCUGCAUUUAUCAACCUGCCAUGGCUAAAAAAAAAUCUGACAAUCAAUCCCAGUGCAAACACAGCACAUGUUUUUCUAAAACAAGGGACUGCACAAUGCCCAGUUGCUUUUGAGAUGAGACACUCUAUUUUUUCAAGAGAAACUUGUGUCAUGCCUGAAACUCACUUUACCCUUGGGUUAUACUUACAAAAUGACAAAUUCAAUUUACAUUUUUUUUUCUUUGGUAUCUUAGUUUUGUAAUUACUUUCCAAUUUAAACAGCUCAUUCCUUGAAUACAUGGUUUGGUUAUUAGCGCUGCAGUAGCACCUUGGUGAAAUCAGGUCCAACCAGCUAUCCACAUUUUUUCCAGUCAAUAAAUUAUUUUUAAAAGGUCAUUGUGACAUAAUUCAGAAGUUGUAGGCUCAAGUAAUUAGUAUACAAUAUGCAGCUUUCCACACCCAGUAUUUUUAUACAGCUGCAUCAGUAAUACUGUUGUCUGGGGAGGUUUUAAUUUGAAAAGGAGGGCAGUCCUGAGGGAUGUCUGCUUGAAGAUGAAACCUUAUUUAGCUUGAGAAGAAAAAGCAUCAGCCACAGCUCCAACCUCUCUUGGAUCAGGUGCUAGAAGAUGUUAGAAGAGAAGCCCAGCUCCCCUCCUUUCCUCAGCAGCAGUACUCAUUUUACUGUAGCUCUUGCUGCUGCUUACUGUAGCUAUUGGGACCUAUCCUGCAGUAUGCCCUUACCCCAAAGGUAGAAUAUACAAGCCGCAACAUUUUUUCAUCAGUAUAUAAACACCAGAUGCUUGGCUGGCUGCCCCUUGCAGGGGCAGGAAAACGCAGAAGUAAGAGGAGGUGGAGGAGAAGAAGGAGAGUUUAAGCUGCCUCCCAUGCCUUGUCCCAGUGAAUUGCCUGGUUUUAGUAUUAGGUGGAAAUUUACUUUCUGUGUUUUGGGCCUUGCUCCCUGCCUUACUUCCAAGGAGCAUCAGAGGAGGGGGCAGAAGGACAAGGAUGUGGGAGACAUUGACCAUUGAAGAGCGUAGCUGGGGAGAAGGGGAUGAAAAUGUUAAUUUAUUACUAAAGUGGGGAUGAAUUGUGUUUGAACCCGGACGUUAAAAGUACUAUAGCUUGUUUGUCUCCUGAGACAGCGACUAUCCCCAGUGCUGAGCUCACCACAGAAGCAUUGGAUUGGGAGACGCCAUACAGAUAUCUGCUGGAGGAUGUAGUUUUAUGCUUGGGGUCCUGCUAGAGUGUGUUGCAGGCUGCAUCUGACCCAUGUGCCUGCAUUCCCUUUCUAUGGAAACUACUAUAUAGUCUCUGUCUCAGCCCCAUGUGACAUUGGCAUGUGGCCAUGUCACCCCAGAGCUGAAAUAUACUCUGGACUGGUAAUACCCGUAUUGCAGAAGAGAUCAUCCAGGCCAUUAUGUACCCAGCAAAUGCAUUCAAUAAGUGUUUUGUCUGGAAAAGCAUUGAACAUCUAUCCCAUAUAUGUCACUCCAUCACUGCCCAAACAUAGAUCUAGGGUAAGAGGUCUUCUUUGCAUUUGUGCUUUUGCUUUCACAGUUUUGCUUUCUUAAUUUUACAUUUUGUAAUAUUAGAAAAUAAUACUUCCUGUCUGGCAUGCUGGAGCAAUGCAGAUAUUUUCACUGAGAAAGUGAAAUCCUACAUGGCAGAGGAAAAUCCAGUUGAAAUAUGUGGGAGUUGCCUGAAUAAGUACUGAAAGGUUUGGCCCUUGGGAUGGAAAUAGACCUUGGAGUUUUACCAAGGUGCUUCAGAGCUCCUUGUUCCCCUUGCUUUUCUCUUUCAAAUAUGAUGACUGGAGCUGUCUGGAUGCAGAACUCAUUUGAACUAAGAAUAAGUAUCUGUUAAAACAGGAUCUUCAUGCUCUGGUCUCUCAAAAAGUCUGCUCAGGCACUUAAAAAUAAAAACCAGCUACUUCACACUGUUUAGAGACAUUGAAGAAGAAAUAUAGAGCUCUUCAUGCACAUGAGAAUCAUAUUCAAACAGAUACAAUAAAAGUUAAUAGUGACUUCUAGUCAGGUUUUUCUUUGUAAGCCUACAAGUUCCCUGACAGCCUUGCAAUUAUGGAAAGAAAUAUUAAAACCAAAAA